rnacentral:lncRNA from 1 species
GUUCAUAUGGGAUCAGGCAAAAGCAGGUCCUGAAGGCAGGAUCCUGAAGAUCAGGCACCACCUGACAGAAUUCUCAAGCACCUGACUCAUCACCUCUGCAGUGCAUCCCUUUCCAGAAGUCCACUCUCCUGAUUCACCACCAGUGGAAGUUUUAACAAUGGAAACACCAUCUGUGCAAGGUGUCCACAUUGCUAGCUGGGCGGUGAAUGAUUCAGCUCCAAAAUCCCAUUUGAUUGCCUGCUCUUUCCAGACACAACUGCAGCAAACUGGAUUGUCUAGACACAGAUGAUGAGACAGAGUUUAGGGUGCAAGAAGCUAACUAGGGAUCAACACCUGUGUAAGGAAGCAGGUGGAAGCACAAUUGAAGUUGAGAAAGAUGAAGAGGUUGAACUGCCCUGCAGGCCAGAUAGAGCCUUGCCAAACCAGUGGGGAACUCGGAGGAAGUCCUGCCUGCCAGUUUCCCAUGUGGAGCCGAAACAGUCGUGCUUUUAUCUCUCCACCUUGCUCAGUCACCAGAUGCAGGCCACGCCCAGAAGGGUAUGUUUUUCUCUGCAGCUCAGACUGAUGUUGAGGAGCUGGGAGCUGGAAGCCACCUGCUGACUGCACUCCCUGCAGCUGGUCAGCCCAUCCUUCUCGAGGGGCAUCUGAAUGGCAUCUUCAUCAGAAUGCAAGGCUGGGUGCAGUGGCCCACGCCUGUAAUCCCAGCACUUUGGCAGGCCGAGGCGGGCAGAUCACCGGAGCUCAGGAGUUCGAAACCAGCCUGGGCAACGUGGCGAAACCCUCUCUCUACUAAAAAUACAAAAAUGAGCUGCACAUGUUGGCGCACACCUGCAAUCCCAGCUACUCAGGAGGCUGAGGCAGGAGAAUCGCUUGAACCCAGGAGGCGGAGGUUGCAGUGGGCCGAGAUACGUGCCAUCACACUACAGCCUGGGGGAAAAGAGCGAGACUCCUUCUCAAACAAAAUAAAUGAAUAAAUAAUGAAUAAAUACAGAAUGCAUACACAAAUGACACAAUUCAGCUUU